CCUACGGGUGGCAGCAGUGAGGAAUAUUGGUCAAUGGGCGCGAGCCUGAACCAGCCAAGUAGCGUGAAGGAUGACUGCCCUACGGGUUGUAAACUUCUUUUAUAAGGAAUAAAGUGAGGGACGUGUGCCCUUUUGUAUGUUCUUUAUGAAUAAGGAUCGGCUAACUCCGUGCCAGCAGCCGCGGUAAUACGGAAGGUCCGAGCUUUAUCCGGAUUUUGUGGGUUUAAAGGGAGCGUAGAUGGGUUGUUAAGGCAGUUGUGAAAGUUUGCGGCUCAACCGUAAAAUUGCAAUUGAUACUGGCAGUCUUGAGUACAGUUGAGGUAGGCGGAAUUCGUGGUGUAGCGGUGAAAUGCUUAGAUAUCACGAAGAACUCCGAUUGCGAAGGCAGCUUACUAAACUGCCACUGACAUUGAUGCUCGAAAGUGUGGGUAUCAAACAGGAUUAGAUACCCCUGUAGUC
rnacentral:rRNA from 1 species